CAGGCUUAACACAUGCAAGUCGAGGGGAAACGGCAUUGAGUGCUUGCACUCUUUGGACGUCGACCGGCGCACGGGUGAGUAACGCGUAUCCAACCUUCCCAUUACUGUGGGAUAACCUGCCGAAAGGCAGACUAAUACCGCAUAGUCUUCGAUGACGGCAUCAGAUUUGAAGUAAAGAUUUAUCGGUAAUGGAUGGGGAUGCGUCUGAUUAGCUUGUUGGCGGGGUAACGGCCCACCAAGGCUACGAUCAGUAGGGGUUCUGAGAGGAAGGUCCCCCACAUUGGAACUGAGACACGGUCCAAACUCCUACGGGAGGCAGCAGUGAGGAAUAUUGGUCAAUGGACGGAAGUCUGAACCAGCCAAGUAGCGUGCAGGAUGACGGCCCUAUGGGUUGUAAACUGCUUUUGUAUGGGGAUAAAGUUAGGGACGUGUCCCUAUUUGCAGGUACCAUACGAAUAAGGACCGGCUAAUUCCGUGCCAGCAGCCGCGGUAAUACGGAAGGUCCAGGCGUUAUCCGGAUUUAUUGGGUUUAAAGGGAGCGUAGGCUGGAGAUUAAGUGUGUUGUGAAAUGUAGACGCUCAACGUCUGAAUUGCAGCGCAUACUGGUUUCCUUGAGUACGCACAACGUUGGCGGAAUUCGUCGUGUAGCGGUGAAAUGCUUAGAUAUGACGAAGAACUCCGAUUGCGAAGGCAGCUGACGGGAGCGCAACUGACGCUUAAGCUCGAAGGUGCGGGUAUCAAACAGGAUUAGAUACCCUGGUAGUCCGCACAGUAAACGAUGGAUGCCCGCUGUUGGUACCUGGUAUCAGCGGCUAAGCGAAAGCAUUAAGCAUC
rnacentral:rRNA from 1 species